AAAAACUGGAAACGUGUAAAAAAUGUUUCAUACACGACGUCGAACGGGAUUUUGAAUUGAAUCGAUUGUAACGUAAAAUGAAAAUUGAGUCAUCUAUUUGUCGACUUUUACUCGAAGCAACAACUUUCAUAGGCGUGCAAAAUAGUCAGCGCAACGCAAGAAUAUCGCCCAAAAGUCGAUUCGAGUGAAUCUAGGAAAGAUGCCAACGCUGUUACAACUGUUUUGUUAGUACAAGCCCAUAAUGGUAAGUCGACUCCUCCGG